rnacentral:lncRNA from 1 species
CUAUGUCCUCCGCAUAACGAUUCUUUCCCUAUUAAUCGACGAGCUAGGUUGAAACUCCAACUUCUUCCUCUCGUAUUCGUUUUCCCCUUUUUACCUCUUCUAUUUCUAUGCCUAGGUUCUAACCCGUGUCGUUCUUUCUCUUAACUACUCGUCGGCAGGAAACCAAAGGUGGAACCCAGCUAUGAACUCGAUCAAGACUCAGGCGGAAUCAAAGUUCACGUAUGGCUUAUCAUAAAUCUCAGCUUAAAAACAAUGCCAUAAAUCUUUUGAGUGAGAUGUUGAUUGUUUAAAUUUUACUUUGGGUGGUGUAUUCUUAACUCAGGUGCAAUAUUUAUGCCCUCGCUCUUAGCACAGAACCCAACAUUAGUCAUAAGUCAUAACAAUAAUCCCAUCUCUAGAGUACGUGGUGUGUCAAAGUUAAUCCUCUGUCAUACACACUAACUGUUUUUGACAACCAUGGCUUGAACAUAGUAAAUGUAUGGGGUAAUUCUAAGUUGUGGUGCGAAUUCGAGUCUUGUUUUGGCUUUGUAUCUAGAAUCUCAUGCAUAUUAGGUUUCACUAAUUGUCUUUUGACAUUGUUUUGUUGAUUUUAUUUGUAGUAGCUAGCCGUAUUAAAUCAAAAGAGUUUUUCUAAAAGAUCUUCACACUGAUUUUUAAACAUCGUAAUCAUCGGUUUAGCUAGUUACGAAUUAACAUUCAUCAAAUUCAUAGAGUGAGGCAUGUAUGUCCAACCAAUCAUUAAAAGGGAUCCAAAGUCAAAGGUUAGUAGUCCAUUUCGUGACUAUUAACCUAUCCUAAGUCCAACAUCUUAGUGUAGUGAUAAUGACGAUGAUAUAUUGUGAAUAUGCUUAGUGAAAUAGGUAUUCUUGGC